GCGAAAAAUAAAGUUCCAGAGCUCUUGUUGAAGUUAUUACUCAAUUUUGUAACAAAUUUCAAGUAUUCCAUUUCACUUUAAGACAAAUAGGUGAACGAGUUCAUGCAGCUCUGUAGGACUCAUCCUCUGUGAACCAUGAAUAUCUAUUUAAGUCAAUCAAUCUAUUAAAGAGUUGCUGAGAUUUCACAUUCUGAAUGAACAGAAACUCAAAGGUUCUUGCAGGUUAAGUGAUCAGCUACAGCAGCAUCUCAACUCCUGGAAGUACCUUGUAAAAUGAAAGGCAAUAAAGAAGACCAAUGAAUCUCUGGACACAGGUGUAGUAAAAAUGAUUCUUUAAUAUGGAACAAAAUCAGAGCUCAGCUCCAAGGCUCCAUCCACCCAACACACUUUAUAACACUGAUGGGUGGAGGAGAACGAGAAAAUCAACCAGUAAGAUCACAGUCCGCUCGGCCAAAAAACAGGAGAGGCUAAAAAAACAUGGAACGCAAAACCAAAGUGCUACUGGGCUUGACCUCGAGACGCCCUGGCUUCCUUCCCUCCUGACCCAGGAUGUGACCACGUGCACACGCCUUUCUGCUGCCUCCCAGGGCUCUCCCACCUUCUCCUCUACUCCACCCUCAGGAGGUCAGAGGCUCCUCACAAACACAGACGACCCAUUGACCUCUAAAAACUGGGUGAGGUCAGCAUUGAGGUGGAUUAGGAGGAGCAAAGGGGCGUGUGAAGGUCGUUUACGCUGAGUGUGCUGCAAGCUGUGGGUGUGUAGUUCUCAGAGGGACGUGAAGCAAGGCGUCUUGGUUAUUAUCAUGGCUCGCCGUGGAAACGUCUGUGGUUCAGUCCUCCUGCUGUUUUACUCCGAGUAUAUGUGGAAUCUAAUCAGCUUUAAAUUGUUGUUCACUACAGAUUCAGAUGGAAUGUUUUGAAGUUUCUGAGAAAAUGAGAUGAGGGCAGGAGAGAGAGGACGUCUGCGGAGGCCGCCCAGUAAGAACCCAUUACUAUACUAACACAGGGACAUCAACAGAAGUACUACACAGAUAUGUACAGAGCAACCAAGCAACACAUUGGAAUACUGAGUAAUAAAUCUGGUGUGGGAAAGGGUUGGUAAUAAUAGUCCACUACGAAUGCACAUAUCCCACUACUUUUUCGUGCAGUUGGUCCAAUCUUUAAGGCUAUUCUCCUGCUCUUGCUACAAACGGGCAGCAGUGAAGCCACCAAAACAUAGAUUUAAGUCUGUGCUUGACUUUGAAUAUGGCUGCUUUGUGAUUCUGCAUGCUGAGCUGACAGCUACCCAUCUCCUCACACUUUGCAUCAGGAGGGUAAAGAAAAAGAAGUAUGAUUGGGGGUAAGAGAUUUGGGGGGAGUUAUAAGCAUGCCCUCUUUUUUGUGCUAAAUCAUUCUCUGGUCCACAGAGCUCUGUAGAAAAACAAGGUGUUCUUCAGAAAUGUGGAAGGUGAUGAAUGAGAGAUGCUAAUGGUCAAAGGAUCACAGAUAGAUCGGGAAGCACGGAUUACUGUGAAAUUAGACUCCGGUGGUGUGCACAUUACCAGCUGAAUGGGAGAGCAAAUGAACAAUUGAGCAGCGAGAAUGGAAAUCUAUACUUGGCGGACGACUGAAACGUGCGGUGGGAAAAAAACAACAAGAGUGGACAUGAGGAGGAGACACACAUUGGUGGAGGGGGGGGGGGUGGAAGAGACGGGGCAGCUGCCAGCUUCAGAAAACACAGUCAUCCUGCACCUUAAUGCACACUGCAUCACAUGACAAACUACAUCAGAGAGAGGAGGGAGGAGGGAGGCACUGCACAGAGAGCACUAGCACUACCAUGGACGGACACACACCUAACAUACACGCACACACAUACACACUACUGCACAGGGUCCCAGUCUGCGUUCCACCGCACUCUCCUGGCUGCCAGAACCUCGCUGUGUCUUUGUCAAGAAAAGAAAUGAAACAGCAAAAUAACCGAUUAACAAACAAACGGAAAGAAGAACACACACUUUGGAUCCGACUGGCUAGAAUAAAAAAAUAAACCAGAAACGAAACUUAGAAUAUAAAAAGAGCCAGUGGCACUGGGUUUUACAGAAAGCAUUUUUCUCAAUAACUGGCUUUUGAACAGCUCUACGCUUUUUCUUUUAGUCUACCAACUAAAAUCUAUACAGUACUGUCAUUUUUCAUAUAUUUAUAGAUAUUUAUACACUUUACAAAGUUGGCAAAAAUACAUAAAUAAAUACAUUAAAUUAGAUUGUACACAUCACAACUGUGUGUUUUAAGUUAGAGCACUCUUUGUUGAAGAGUUGGGCCACGGCGAGUCGAGAAAAGGAGGUGAAGAAACAGGAGUGUUACCCUCGACAUCCCUCAACGCAAAGAAGUCACCAUCACACUUUGUCAGUAACAUUUCGGAGUAUGGCAUUAGAUCGGUUAAGUGUAUUGCUUAUUACCUACCUGAUUAAAAAUGUCCACAUUAUGGCAGGAGUUAGAGGCUGCUCUAACUGCAUCAAGUCUAUUUACAACCAGCGAGGAAAGUAAGAGACGCGCGCUCUGACGGAUCUGGGUUUAGGGGAAUUUUAUUUUUAGUGUGUCUGUGGACUUUCUGACCCUGUGGGACUCCCUCUACAGGAUGGUGUUACAAAUGAAGGCAAGACUGUAUCCACUGUCCUUCUUGCAGAAGGCUGCUGGGAGUAUCUGCUGUACCAUAUCAUGUCUGUUGGCAGAGACGGUCCUAAAAGUGAAACUGAUAAGCUCCAUCUCAGCACUGUCGACAGGCCCAGCCAGAUACAUAAGGCAAUGACAUAUGAAAAAUAGGGAAGUGGGUGUACUGACACCUGCAGUGAAAAUAACUGGACUAGAGCCCUGUGCAGUUAUUUAUGUAUAUAUUUGAUAAAGCAGUGGGCUGAAUAUGUCUGUCAAGAAGGCACAGGGCACAUUUUGGACAUUUGGAAACAAGUCUGUCCUAUUUUUUAAAAUAUUUUUUUUAAUGAUUAAAAAUAAUUAUUGCCAUAUGGCAAACAUUUAUAGCCUAUAUAGGUUAUUUCUUAUUUCUUCCUCAAGACUGUGAAUUCUUUAAAAAAAAAAAAAGAAAGAAAGAAAGAAAGAAAGAAAGAAAGAAAAGGAAAAGCACAAGAUGGGCCUAUAAUGUGGCAAGUUCAUGUCAGUCACUUGUGCUUAACCAUGAGUCUAACCCUCGAAUAAGAGGCUGACUCACCAGCAUGAAAAUUGUCUUUACGGGGUCAGAUGGAUGGUUUAUGUCCUUCUACUAGGAAUACACUCUGUCCUCAUACAUGCCCAUCCCCAUGCAUGGCCUCCAACAGAGAAAAUAAUGACUGCAAAUUCAAUGAAGACGGCAUCAUCAGUGUCAGAACAGGGCCAAUCCUGCCUAACACAAUGGCAUUACAGUAAAUCCCCAAGCCUGUGAGCAGACAGGGUGAGAUGCGAUGCCAAGCAAACCAGGACAGAGUGGCUCCACGGGGAGGCAUGCAGCUCGCUUGAAAAGCAGGGCGCUGCUGGUUUUGGUGUUUGCAACACAAACGCAACCAAAGCUUUAUGGCAUGAGAAACACAGGCUACGAUUAGCGCCACAUAUCGCACAAUUUCCUGGAGGUGUGGGGGGAGGGUAAAGGGUAUGUGGCAGUGUUGCUACAGCGGAUCCGGGAUGUGUUGGGUAUCACUCCUUCCCUUUGUUUCUCUUGCCCUGACCACACGACACCUCCAACAAAAAUACAGCAGACAUCAAAAGCCCUUGUUCAAGAAGGGCAGGUAUAAUCAGCUUCAGUAUCGUCAACAUCACCACUGUUAUUCAUGAAUAUCAUUGUUUUCGUCAUCAUUUCGAGUGACAAAUGAAAACUCAGCGUACAACAAAUGUUAAUUUUUCACCAACAAUAUUUACAUGAAGUUUUUCAAAAACAGAAAGCUUUUUCUUCUCACGGUUUCGGAAAGAAAUAAACCCCAACACAAGAACACCAAGCACACACAUACAUACACACUGACCAACAGUCAAAUGUGAACAGAAAGAAAUAAAAGAUAUUAUUACUCAUUAUUGUUUUUCAUAUCCAUUUGUUACUAUUCAAAUAAUGCUUACUUAAACCCUGAUUGGGAGAAGUCACAUUGGUUCUCACCAGAUGCUUAAAACAAUCGAAAGGGCGAGUUAGGGGAGGUGAGGUCUGUCUGUACAGGGCGACGCACGCAGAAAAUGACUGGACAAAUGACAAAGGUGACCUGGAGGGGUUCAGGGCUUACUGAGCUGUCAGAACAUGAGUCAGAAAAAUAAAACGUCAACUGCAGAUUCCCUAGAAUGAGAUUAUGACGACGACUGCCUGAUUUUAACCCGUGCAUACACAUUUAAAGUCCUCUAAGACGUAAAAUAACUCUACCCUUAAUCUAAUAUCGUAAAAACUACUGCAAAGCAGGCACCUUUCCAAUAGAGUGACUCAAUGAUGCUCAUCUGAAGAAAGCCAUAUCCAUCAAGGAAAACUGCUUAAGAAUAAGAAAUGGUGCAGGAGAGUAUGACAAGGACAAACAAUAUCAUCAGGCUCAGAAGAAUAUCUUACUAAUCCUUUGGCAAACAGAUGUGACCCUUUCAGCCAAUAAAGCUUUAAGUUAUUUAGAAAGUAAACAGAGGAGGGAAGGCUGCUGGUGACAAUGAUAAAUUUGGGGAUGCACAACCAAGAAUAAACAUCUCAAAGAUAGGAGUCCAGGAAUGACUCAUAUGCUUCACAACGCCAAGCUGAUAACAGAACUCGUGGCAGUGUUCUAGUUUCCGCAUCAGCAAGUGCGAGAGGGUCUGAGAGAGUCAUUAAAUGGGGGACGUGAGGCUAAAUGUGGGUGUCCACAGGCCUGCCAAAGUUUGUUGUGAACGAAUGGAUGUGACUGAGCCGUGCAGCAACCUCUGGACCUGAAUGAGUCUAUGAUUGGUACAAAAAUGCUUUUGGUUGCUAAAGCUAACUUUCCCCUUCAUAACUACUGCACUGGGGGUCUUUUUUUUAAAAAAACUCACCUAUUUGGAGUUUAUUAAGGCUUAAGAUGAUGGGCAUGGCUGUUGUGGUUAACAGGUGUCCCUGCAGCUGGGAGCUCAUCUCAACUAAUUUGAGUCUCUGAACUCCACCUCAGGAGCAUUUCUGUGGAAUUAUCAGAGAAAUAAUAUGGCUUGUUGUUCAAGGUGUUUCCGUUUCGGUUUUGGUCAGUGAGUGUAUGCAUCCUGCUAACCAGGCAUGAUAGCCUCAGCUCAGAUCUUUGCAUUUCAUGCUGUCUUCCAUGUACGAUCACUUCUGUCUACAAAAACCAACAUGGCCCAAAAUGCUAAUGUUCCUGUAGCAAAAUGUGGACUCCACAACAAUUAGGUGAGGACACAGUAGAUAGAUAUAUAAAGUCUAGGAUGGGCUCAGGCACCAAACUAAAAGGGAACCACGAAGAGAUGGAAACCAGUCAUCCAUGAUGUCCUCAGUUGUUCAUGUCUAUGUUUGCGAGCAAGUAUAAUCCUGACUCUACAGCCAAAUUUAGAAUCGGCAGUAGUCAGCACCAUGAGGAUCCCUAAUGAGGAUCCCGGUCUGUUCUCUAAAACCUAAAAGAUAUGGUGCAAAGUCUUAAGCCACCAGUCAUUUCUUUAUAUUGUGUUCAAAAAAUCUAUCUAGAGAUUCAAUCUACUGAAACAUGCAAACAUACAGAAAUAUAGUAUAUAAGGCAAAAACAGGUAUUACAGUUAUGACCACCUUUAUUCUUCAACACAGUCUGGAUCCUACUAAGCAAGCUUUCCUAUAAUUUCUUUAAGUACUCUUCAGGAAUAGUUCUCCAGGCUUCUUGAAGGACAUUCAAAGCUCUUCUUUGGAUGUUGGCUGCCUUUUGUUUGAAUCUCUGUCAAGAUGAUCCCACCCUGCUUCAAAAACGUUGAGCUCCAUAACCAAAAAUGACCCAUUGUGUGUUUUUGUAUCCAGCUUUGCUAUUAUUGCAUUGACAGUGUGUUUGGGAUCAUUGUCAUGGUGAAAGACGAAGCCGUUGCCAAUCAGAUCUUUUCCAGAUGGUGGAUCAAAAUCUUACAGUAUUUUUCUGUGUUCAUUAUUCUAUCAGUUUUGAAAAGAUCCCCAACACCACAGGCUGGAAUCCAGCCCCAAACCAUGACAGAGCCUCCACUGUGUUUUACAGAAUAUUUGUAGAGACUCACUCUUGUACCUCUCUCCUGACCACUUCUGAGGAUAACCUUUCAAAUUUGAAUUCAGCAAUCCAUAAGACCUUUUGUCACUGAUUUUCAGUCCAGUUCUUUUGUUAUUUUUCAUUCUUCAGCAGUUUUUUCAGUUUUCCUUCCUUCAGAUUGGUUUCGUCGUCAGACUAUUUCUGAUGAGGCUUCAGUGAGCAGUAGAUGGAGAUACAGAUCCUGCUGCAGAUAGUUUUUUAGGCCUGCCACUUCUUGUGGCACCUUGACACUUUGUAAGAACACACAGCACACCAUUCUGAGAUACUAAGUUUAUGUCUUAUAGCUCUUUGGGAAUCACCUUGUUGAUACAAGAAUGCUAUUUUAUUCCUGUCAAACUGUGUCCUCUUUCCCACUUUUAAAUUCAACUAAAGAAAUUGUAAAUUGAUGUGUUUUUGCAAGUAACAAACUGUCUAAAGAUGCAAUUAAAAAUUGAUUCUUUGCUAAGUUGUCUGUGUAGACACAACACUGAUUCAUCCUUUGAGUUAGGUGCCUUGUUAUGUUUGAAUGACUCAUAGGUCGGUGAUGAGUGAAUUAACAAAUAAACAAACAAAAAAAACAUUCCUUUCAAAAGGGUUAUGAACUGGACUGAAAAUGGUUGAAAAUGUAGUCAAUGUCAAGAGAAAAUCAUAGUAAGACCUUCAGAAAGCCUGGAGAACUAUUACUCAAGACCACUUUAUGAAAACCUGCAAGCUGACAGUAAGCAAAAUAUAAAGAAAUGAGGGGCGGCUCAAGACUUUUCCUACGUACUCUACCUUGACAAUAAAGGCUGGCAUCAGCAUGCCAGCAUA
ensembl:lncRNA